GGAAACUGUUUAACUNGAGUGCAGAAGGGGAGAGUGGAAUUCCAUGNGUAGCGGUGAAAUGCGUAGAUAUAUGGAGGAACACCGGUGGCGAAAGCGGCUCUCUGGUCUGUAACUGACGCUGAGGCUCGAAAGCGUGGGGAGCAAACAGGAUUAGAUGCCCUGGUAGUCCACGCCGUAAACGAUGAGUGCUAGGUGUUGGGUCCUUUCCGGGACUCAGUGCCGCAGCUAACGCAUUAAGCACUCCGCCUGGGGAGUACGACCGCAAGGUUGAAACUCAAAGGAAUUGACGGGGGCCCGCACAAGCGGUGGAGCAUGUGGUUUAAUUCGAAGCAACGCGAAGAACCUUACCAGGUCUUGACAUCCCGGUGCCCGUCCUAGAGAUAGGAUUUUGCUUCGGCACACCGGUGACAGGUGGUGCAUGGUUGUCGUCAGCUCGUGUCGUGAGAUGUUGGGUUAAGUCCCGCAACGAGCGCAACCCUUAUUGUUAGUUGCCAUCAUUCAGUUGGGCACUCUAGCGAGACUGCCGGUAAUAAACCGGAGGAAGGUGGGGAUGACGUCAAAUCAUCAUGCCCCUUAUGACCUGGGCUACACACGUGCUACAAUGGCUGGUACAACGAGUCGCAAGUCGGUGACGGCAAGCUAAUCUCUUGAAGCCAGUCUCAGUUCGGAUUGUAGGCUGCAACUCGCCUACAUGAAGUCGGAAUCGCUAGUAAUCGCGGAUCAGCACGCCGCGGUGAAUACGUUCCCGGGCCUUGUACACACCGCCCGUCACACCACGAGAGUUUGUAACACCCGAAGUCGGUGAGGUAACCUUUUAGGAGCC
rnacentral:rRNA from 1 species